AUUCCUACGGGGGGCUGCAGUGGGGAAUAUUGCACAAUGGGCGCAAGCCUGAUGCAGCAACGCCGCGUGGGGGAUGAAGGCCUUCGGGUUGUAAACCCCUUUUAGUAGGGAAGAAGCGAAAGUGACGGUACCUACAGAAAAAGCGCCGGCUAACUACGUGCCAGCAGCCGCGGUAAUACGUAGGGCGCAAGCGUUGUCCGGAAUUAUUGGGCGUAAAGAGCUCGUAGGCGGUUUGUCGCGUCUGCUGUGAAAUCCCGAGGCUCAACCUCGGGUCUGCAGUGGGUACGGGCAGACUAGAGUGUGGUAGGGGAGACUGGAAUUCCUGGUGUAGCGGUGGAAUGCGCAGAUAUCAGGAGGAACACCAAUGGCGAAGGCAGGUCUCUGGGCCACAACUGACGCUGAGGAGCGAAAGCGUGGGGAGCGAACAGGAUUAGAUACCCUGGUAGUCA
rnacentral:rRNA from 1 species